rnacentral:rRNA from 1 species
UUGAAUUUCGGGAUCAAUAUGUUGGUCGUGCCUCGGUACGUACUAGCUAUUAGUUUCGUUCCUUCCUUGAUAGAAACCAUGAUGUCAUUUAUUAGNUGGUGUGUAGGGGAAUCAGGACUGUUACUUUGAAAAAAUUAGAGUGUUUAAAGCAGGCUCACGCUUGAAUACAUUAGCAUGGAAUAAUGAAAUAGGACGUUUGAUUCUAUUUUGUUGGUUUCUAGAUCGACGUAAUGAUUAUAGGGAUAGUUGGGGGCAUUAGUAUUCAAUUGUCAGAGGUGAAAUUCUUGGAUUUAUUGAAGACUAACUACUGCGAAAGCAUUUGCCAAGGAUGUUUUCAUUAAUCAAGAACGAAAGUUAGGGGAUCGAAGACGAUCAGAUACCGUCGUAGUCUUAACCAUAAACUAUGCCGACUAGGGAUCGGAUGAUGUUAAUUUUUUAAUGACUC